GUUAACAUAGGUAGUCACUGCUGUUGUCCAGAAUCAUUCUCUCAGCCUGCUGUUCACAUUCUCUAUGACCAAGGAGAAAUCCAAGCUCCAAAAGGAAGCUCAUAAACCAGAGCUCAAAACCCUAAAAAGGAUUAAGAAACGUAAACCCCUCGAAGACCUCACCCCUGAUUCUGAUUCAAUGAAAUCCACAAGAAACAAAAAGAAGAAACACAAAUCAGAUGAACCCAUUUCUUCAAACCCUGAAAAACUCGAAACCCUGAAAAAGAAACAUAAAUCUGAUAAACCCCAGAAAUCACAUUCUGAGUCUGAUUCAGUACAUACCCUAGAAAAGGAGGAGGAGAAGAAGAAGACGAAGAAGAUAACCCAUGAUUCCGAUUCAAUCCAAAUAGUAGAAAAGAAGAAGAAGAAAAAUAAAUCAGAUAAGCCCCAGAAACCUCGUUCUGCAAAACCUGAAAUUCUCGGUUUCGAAAUCGAUGCCGAUUCAGUUCCAAGCCCAAGAAAGAAGAAACGCAAAUCAGAUACUCAUUCCAUUGAAAGCCGAAAAAAGGAGAAGAAACAAAAAUUGGAUAGAUUGCAAUCUACAAAGCCUAAAAACCUUGAUUCCGAGAUCGAAGAUGUCUCAAUCCAAACCCCAAAAAAGAAGAAAAAACAAAAGUGGUUAGAAUCGCAGAAACCCAUAGCUGUAGUCCCUGAAAUACUUGAUUCUGAAAUUGAUAGUGAUUCAAUUCAAAGUCUCCUGGAGCCCCACACAAAAGACCAGCUCAUUGAGUUCCUCCUUGACUCUGCUGUUAAAACUCCCUCGAUUUUGUUCAAAAUUAUGGAAACUGCCAAUGAAGAUAUCUCUCACCGCAGAAUAUUUGUUCACAAUAUCGAUUGGGACACCACGAGAGGAUCCAUGGUCUCGGUUUUUGAAAAAUAUGGUGCAUUAGAGGCGUGUGAUGUCGCGUAUGAUCGUGUGACUGGUAAAACAAAAGGUUUUGGUUUUGUUGUAUUCAAGUCGAGAGAAAGUGCGAAAAAUGCAUUGAAAGAGCCAAAGAAGAGGAUUGACAAUAGGAUUGCAUCGUGCCAGUUGGCAUCAAUUGGCCCUCCAGUUGUGGGCGGUGUGGAUAAUUCAAGUAGAAAGAUAUAUGUUAGUAAUGUUGACAAGGAUGUGGAUUCGUUGAAAUUGCGCGAGUUUUUUGAGAAGUUUGGUGAAAUCGAGGUUGGGCCAUUUGGAUUUGAUAUGCAAACUGGGAAAUCUAAGGGUUAUGCAUUGUUUGUUUAUAAGAAUUUGGAAGGUGUGAGGAAGGUUUUGGAAGAACCUAUUAAGAUUUUUGAUGGAAAGCAGUUGAGUUGUCGAAUGGCAAAUGAUUGGAAUGGUAGGAAAAAGAAUAGUAAGAGUGAUAGUUCGGUUACGACAGUAAUGAUGCCUGUGCCGCAUGAUCUGUCUGCUGUGUUACCUGAGCAGAACAUGGCAAUGGUUGGGCAGCCAGCAGGCUUUAAUCCUAUGCUGGGGCAAUUAGGUUUCAAUACAAUUGCUGAAGGAUUGUAUGCAAAUCCUAGUGCAGCUUUGUUGAAUCAGCUAUUGAGUCAACCUGGGAUUGGGGUGAAUCAAUUUGGACAAAUGGGUGUUGGUUUAGGGGGUUAUGGUGAGGCAAUGACAGGUCAGGUGAUGGAGGGUUUAGGGUGUUUUGGUGAGACAAUUACUGGUCAGGAAAUGGGGGAUUUAGGUUGGAAUCAGUCGGUAUUGGGGCCAUUUAGUGGUCGUACUUCUUCCCCAAUGUUGCAGGGUUGGCAACAUGCUUACUCGGAUACAUAACUGGAUCUUUCAACGGUUGCCUAUCAAAAAAUUGUAGGUCGUUCAGGAAUUGGAAAGUCUCCCAUAUUCUGUCAAUCUGGCUUCUCGCUAUUUGUUGAUGUUAGAUAUAUUAAAGGAAAGAAAAUCACUGGUACUUACAGGCCACUCCUUUGGAGGUGCAAUUGCAUCUCUUAUAGCUCUUUGGCUCCUCUCUUAUCUCCACUCCAUCUCUGCCUUCCUUUCUGUGCUUUACAUCACAUUUGGAUCACCAAGGCUCGGAAACAAAUCUCUCUCUCAGGCCAUCCUUCUAGAGCGAUGGGCUGGGAACUUUAUUCAUGUGAUCGUAAAGCAUGACAUUGUUCCUAGACUCCUGUUUGCUCCACUGGAUCAAGGGACUAAUCACCUUCAUUGCCUCCUACAGUUCUGGCAUUCUUCCAUGAAGCUGGAGGAUUCGUCCUGCAGCGAACAAUCUUUGUUUGGAACUUAUAAUUCACAACUAUUAAAGUUUGUAUUGGUUCAUAUUAACACACAGCACUAGAAACUUUGGAAAAAGGGGUUGAAGAUCUGGGGUCUGCAUUUUUGCCAUUUGGGAACUAUAUUUUUUGUAGCGAUGAUGGAGCCAUUUCAUGGGGCUAUUUCUCCCAAUUAUGUUAUUUUGGGCAUUACAUAUGAGUUUUGUGAUAUAUAGGACCUUUUCUCAUUGCAACUGUUGUAACCUAAAAAACAAUUAUUUUCGGUGUUGCAAUCUCAGUUGCAACUUUUUGUAA